rfam:Mustela putorius furo unplaced genomic scaffold scaffold00173, whole genome shotgun sequence.
AUUCACUUUGGCAGCAUACAUGCUAAAAUUGGAACCAUACAGAAAAAAUUAGCAUGGCCCCUACCCAUGCAAAUCUGUGAAGCAUUCCAUUUUUUU